rnacentral:rRNA from 1 species
AGAGUUUGAUCAUGGCUCAGGAUGAACGCUAGCGGCAGGCCUAACACAUGCAAGUCGAGGGGCAGCACGGUGUAGCAAUACACUGGUGGCGACCGGCGCACGGGUGCGUAACGCGUAUGCAACCUACCCAUAACGAGGGGGAUAACACUGAGAAAUUGGUACUAAUACCCCAUAACAUCAGGACCGGCAUCGGUUCUGGUUGAAAACUCCGGUGGUUAUGGAUGGGCAUGCGUUGUAUUAGCUUGGG